rnacentral:lncRNA from 13 species
CGAAAUACUGAAUACUGAAUAUUUAUUUGAGCGGCCCAGAUCCGCUUUCGCAGAGAGCAUCGGUGAAUGUGGAGCUGAGAGAAUGUAUUCACUGACAAAAGGAAAAAAGGUUUAGAAAUCUCUUAAGUGUCCUAUGUUUGCCAACAUUUACCGACGGCUCGCUCUGACAUCUGAAACAAUAGUGAUCAUUCUAGAGAUUAGUUAGAUGGAAUUAAACAAUUCCGGCUCUUGUUAAAUAGGCAUAUACUUAAUUUGCAAAAUGCCGUGCAAGAACCCGUGGGGCACCUGGAGAAAACAGUGUCUCGAGACGGCUCAGGUGCUCCGGGUCCACGCAGGACGCGGGACGGGGAGGGGCCUGGCCUGGCCUGGCCUCCGGGGCUGAGCCCGCUCCUGCUGCUGCGGGUGGGGGGUGUUCACGCCCCUUGGCCUCUGGGAGGGGCCUGAGGCAGGACAUUAGGGCCAGCGGAGCAGGCCCUUCCCCGAGCCACGGGGGAAACCCCUGCCCCAGGUGUCUGACUUUCAAACUGCAUCAGGCCACUGGAGGAUUGUUUCGUGGCUAUGAGAAAAUUAAUUAUGCAGGCCGGGCGUGGUGGCUCAAGCCUGUAAUCCAAGUACUUUGGAGGCCAAGGAGGGCGGAUUACCUGAGGUCGGGAGUUUAAGACCAGCCGGACCAACAUGGUGAAACCCCCGUCUUUUAAAAAAAAAAAAAAAAAGAAAGAAAAUUAAUUAUGCUUGCACAAAACUUUAGCCAAUACCUCAGAGGGAAACGUAAAAGGGGAAAGCCGCACCCUUACUCCACCCACUCCAAGGCGGCAGACACCCCUCCGUGGCCGGGACUCAGCACGAUCAAGUCCUCGUUCUCCUACGCCGGCGGGACCCAGCGCCCCGCUCCAGGGGGCGGGGAGAGCUGGGUCACGUCCCGGCCCCGCCCACCCGCGCGGCCCCGCCCCCGAGCGUGCGCGCCCCACGCGGAGACCCCGCCCCCGAGCGCGCGCUCGUGCGCCGCUGCCGCCAUUUUGGAGCGAUCCGAGUGCCGCCCGCGGCCCCGAGUCGGUCUCGAGCCGCCGGCCGGCCGCGCCGGUGUCCGUAGGCGCUGCGCCCCGGGCCGGGCCCAUGUGUGUGCGGCCCGCCCGAGGCCGCCUGGGCUUUGCCUCCACCAGCGCCCUGGCCUCCGUUCGGGCCUCCACACGGGCCUCCGAGGAGCUGCCGCGACGCCCGGCCCGCAGGGCAGAGAUGGGGCCCUGCUUGAUUUGUCACUCAGGCUGGAUUGCAGUGGUGCGGUCCUUCUCAUUGCAGCCUCAGGUGCUUCUCCCACCUCGCCUCCUGAGCUGCUGGGGUUACAGGCAUGAGCCCGUGUACCAGCACUAUCUAUGAAUUCAUCUGUGUCAUUUCUGGGUAAAGAGUUUAUACAUCUUCGACUGAAUGAAAAAAAUUUUUCUUAAAGCUGCAUAUACUCCAAGAAAAAAUCCACAAAUGUUUUUCUGUUUUGCCUGAAUACAUGAUCUAAACAAGAGAUUUCCGCAGAAGGUAAGAUAAGUUUCUUUUUCAGUUUGAUUCUGUUUUAUUGUGUAAUUUAUACAAAAGUACUGUAUAGGUGGAAGUUCAAAGUUGGGUGACAGCAAAAAAUGUAGUUUAGAAGAUGUGCUUAUGGUCUGUUGUCUUUUGGUGAUUUUUGAUCCUCCUGUGUCUGGUUAUGAGAUUCUCUGUGUGUCUUUGAGCAAGUUACUUGGUGUCUCCAAGCCAAAGUUUAAUUCUUACAAAAUGUAGACAGUCUUGCACAUAUGUGAUGGGGUAUGUGUUCUCCCUCACUUGCAGGGAACAUGUGAGAUGCAGCCUGUACACUGUCACAGUUGCCAUUCAGGGCACACAGUUAUGUAGAAAAUGAAAAAGGGAGGGAAGGACCUCUGCUUCCAGCAAUAGUAGAUGCUCUUGCGAGGCUCUCCCAUUGCAGUUCAGUUAGAUGCUGAAUCAAUAUGAUAAAUAGAAUUUCUUUACUUUUUAUUUUUUCUGGAGUCAAGGUCUCACUUUGUCAUCCAGGCUGGAGUCUAGUGGUGUGAUCAUAGCUCACCAUAACCAUGUGUACCUAGGCCGAAAGGAUCCUCCUACUUCAGUCUCCUGAGUAGCUGGGACUCCAGGCAUGCGCCACCAUGGCUAAUUAAAAAAAAAUUUUUUUUAAGGUGGGGUUUCAUUGUGUUACCAAGACUGAUCUUGAACUCCUAGGCUCGAGUGAUCCUCCCACCUUGGCCUCCCAAAGUGACGAGAUUAUAGGCAUGAGUUAACCAUGCUUGGCCAGAUGUAAUUUUUUUUUUUUUUUGAGACACAGUCUCGCUCUGUGGCCCAGGCUGGAGUGCAGUGGCACGAUCUCGGCUUACCACAACCUCCGCCUCCUGGGUUGAAGUGAUUCUCCUGCUUCAGCUUCCUGAGUAGCUGGGAGGAGUUCAAGAUCAUCCUGGCCAACAUGGCGAAAUCCCAUCUCUACUAAAAAUACAAAAAAAAAAUUAGCCAGGUGUGGUGGUGCGUGCCUGUAAUCCCAGCUACUCGGGAAGCUGAGGCAGGAGAAUCACUUGAACCCCGGAGGCGGAGGAACAAAAGGCACCACCACCAAAACUGAGUAUAUGGCUUAAACAGAUGAAACGCAGGUGAAGAUGGAGUUAGAGAAGUGAAAUGUAGUGGAAGGCAUUGUCCAAAGUGCAGCCCCAGGAGAUCAGUGAUGGUUGGCGGUAGUAACCGUAAUAAUAAUAAUUCAGUGUGUAUGCGUUUAAUAAAAAAUACAUAGAGUGAAGUGAAAAUCA